rnacentral:rRNA from 1 species
AAUUUCGGUCCGGGAUGGGCUCGCGGCCUAUCAGCUAGUUGGUGAGGUAAUGGCUCACCAAGGCGUCGACGGGUAGCCGGCCUGAGAGGGUGACCGGCCACACUGGGACUGAGACACGGCCCAGACUCCUACGGGAGGCAGCAGUGGGGAAUAUUGCACAAUGGGCGAAAGCCUGAUGCAGCAACGCCGCGUGAGGGAUGACGGCCUUCGGGUUGUAAACCUCUUUUAGCAGGGAAGAAGCGAAAGUGACGGUACCUGCAGAAAAAGCGCCGGCUAACUACGUGCCAGCAGCCGCGGUAAUACGUAGGGCGCAAGCGUUAUCCGGAAUUAUUGGGCGUAAAGAGCUCGUAGGCGGUUUGUCGCGUCUGCUGUGAAAACCCGAGGCUCAACCUCGGGCCUGCAGUGGGUACGGGCAGACUAGAGUGCGGUAGGGGAGAUUGGAAUUCCUGGUGUAGCGGUGGAAUGCGCAGAUAUCAGGAGGAACACCGAUGGCGAAUGCAGAUCUCUGGGCCGUAACUGACGCUGAGGAGCGAAAGGGUGGGGAGCAAAC